CAGUAGCCGCGGUAAAACAGAGGAUGCAAGCGUUAUCCGGAAUGAUUGGGCGUAAAGCGUCUGUAGGUGGCUUUUCAAGUCCGCCGUCAAAUCCCAGGGCUCAACCCUGGACAGGCGGUGGAAACUACCAAGCUGGAGUACGGUAGGGGCAGAGGGAAUUUCCAGUGGAGCGAUGAAAUGCGUAGAGAUGUGGAGGAACACCAGUGGCGAAGGCGACUCUCUGGUCUGUAACUGACGCUGAGGAGCGAAAGCGUGGGGAGCGAACAGGAUUAGAUACCCCCGUAGUCCCUGUCUCUUAUAC
rnacentral:rRNA from 1 species